rnacentral:lncRNA from 1 species
UUAGUCCCGGUUGGAAAGACCAACAAGGACUAAAGCCCCACCUUUUAUCCUAGUUGUAACGGCUAAAAAACUGGCCACCAACGGUGGGAGCUUUUAUCCCGGUUGGAAACACCAAUCGGGACUAAAGACCCCCUUUUAGUCUCCCCUCUCUCCAUCUUAUCUUCUCUCCUCCUCUGCCUUUCUCCCUCGCGCAGGCAAUCUUUCUUUCUUUCUAUCUUCC